GUCCGACGGUACAGGGUGAUAGUCCCGUACACCAAAAUGCACAGGCUGUGAACUCGAAGAGUAGGGCGGGACACGUGGUAUCCUGUCUGAAUAUGGGGGACCAUCCUCCAAGGCUAAAUACUCCUGACUGACCGAUAGUGAACCAGUACCGUGAGGGAAAGGCGAAAAGAACCCCGGACGAGGGGAGUGAAAAAGAACCUGAAACCGUGUACGUACAAGCAGUGGGAGCACCUUCGGGUGUGACUGCGUACCUUUUGUAUAAUGGGUCAGCGACUUAUAUUCUGUAGCAAGGUUAACCGUAUAGGGGAGCCGCAGGGAAACCGAGUCUUAACUGGGCGUUAAGUUGCAGGGUAUAGACCCGAAACC
rnacentral:rRNA from 1 species